rnacentral:rRNA from 1 species
AGUGAACGCUGGCGGUAGGCCUAACACAUGCAAGUCGAACGGCAGCACAGUAAGAGCUUGCUCUUACGGGUGGCGAGUGGCGGACGGGUGAGGAAUACAUAGGAAUCUACUUUUUCGUGGGGGAUAACGUAGGGAAACUUCCGCUAAUACCGCAUACGACCUACGGGUGAAAGCAGGGGAUCUUCGGACCUUGCCCGAUUGUAUGAGCCGAUGUCGGAUUAGCUAGUUGGCGGGGUAAAGGCCCACCAAGGCGACGAUCCGUAGCUGGUCUGAGAGGAUGAUCAGCCACACUGGAACUGAGACACGGUCCAGACUCCUACGGGAGGCAGCAGUGGGGAAUAUUGGACAAUGGGCGCAAGCCUGAUCCAGCCAUACCGCGUGGGUGAAGAAGGCCUUCGAGUUGUAAAGCCCUUUUGUUGGGAAAGAAAAGCAGCAGAUGAAUACCCCGCUGUUCUGACGGUACCCAAAGAAUAAGCACCGGCUAACUUCGUG